rnacentral:rRNA from 1 species
GACGAACGCUGGCGGCGUGCCUAAUACAUGCAAGUCGAACGCAGUGGGGACGGGUGAGUAACACGUGGGUAACCUCCCAUCAGAGGGGAUAACACUUGGAAACAGGUGCUAAACCGAUACUGAUGGAUGGACCCGCGGUGCAUUAGCGAGUUGGGGAGGUAACGGCUCACCAAGGCAAAGAUGCCUAGCGGACCUGAGAGGGUGAUGGGCCAGACUGGAACUGAGACAGGGCCCAGACUCCUACGGGAGGCAGCAGUGGGAAAUCUUCGGCAAUGGACGAAAGUCUGACCGAGAAAAGCCGGGUGAGUGAAGAAGGUUUUCGGAUCGUAAAACUCUGUUGUUAGAGAAGCGGUAUCUAACCAGAAAGCCACGGCUAACUACGUGCCAGCAGCCGCGGUAAUUC